GUGAGCGCGCGAUCCCAAGUGAAUUCAGUAUUAUGACGACACAAUGCUUACCCCUCAUCCUAAUUGAUGCGCAGUACUACCUGUCCUCAUCGCGUCUAGUUGGCAUGGCAACGGGUGAUGAUAGCAGUAUCCUUAUCCAGCAUAUAACCCAGCCGUUAAUUUUGGCGAUAUAAUUGUGGUGCAUGCCGGGUGCCCGGCCUGAUGAAUGAUUAUUGAUGAUAUGCACGAAAAUUCAAUACCUGAGCAGCCGCUGUAUAUUGUAGGUCAUUACUAAAAUUGCUAUUACACCAGCGCAACAAGCAACGAUUUUUAUAUAAACUUGGCCGGAGGUUAUCAUGGUCUUUGAAUAGAUGCGUUUACGUGUUGAAAAGAAUUCACCCCAGACAACAAACAUCCUAUGAACCAUGAAGUUUACCGACCUGACUCAGCGCUCUCUGCGAGAUCUAGAGAAGAGAUCGACAGAGAGGAUGGCGAGAUUUGAGAGAGUACAGAGCGACUUUUAUCAGCUACAGCAACAAAUAGAAGAAAAGUCAAAUUACAUGAACACUCGACACUACAAGGUAAGCUCGAAUAUAUUUUUAUUGUAAUUUGAUAAAUAUUUGAUAAUGUCACAACAACAAUAGCAACAGCAACAUCAGCAGCUAGCAGAGUAAUAAACACAGCAGCAACGGCGACGACAGCAACGACAAAAACAGCAUCAGUUAUGCUCUGAUUGUAUUUCUAUUGUCAUUCAGAAAUGUAAAGAGCAUGUAUAUAGAAUUAAUGUGGCCCCAGAAGACCUUAGUGAACAGCAUUUAUAGAUAACUUCCUCCUGGGAUAUCAAAGACCUUUCUAAAAAAAAAAAAUCGAACAAGAGUUCAUUUUUAUUCUUCCUUUCCCCCCAUUUCGUCACCUCACCGCUAAAAGGACCUUACAACCAGUGACAGCACAUGGUGGCAGUGUCCUUUUUGCAGUGAGAUGACGAUUCUUAUCUUCUUUUUGUUUGCAGUUGCUCAGCAUACAGGAGGAUUUAGGCCUCAUUCAGAGAAACGCGGAGUGGAUCAAGCACAGACUGAAUGAAUUAAAAGAGGAAGCAGACACACCUGUUAAACCCCUGGAGAGAGAACUAUUCUACCCGAAAAGCUGGAUCACCAUGUAACCAUGGCGACGAGAUGGAUGGUAUCAAUGAUCGCGCUAAUAAGAAAGGAAAUAAUGAAUGAGAGAACCACAAGUACCUUGAAUUGAAUAUGAUUGGAUACUUGCGUUUUCAAAGGCGAUUGUUCACACUGUAGGAAUAGGGAUCAUUCAAAAUGAAUGAAUGGGCAAUGACAUAUCGAAACUGAACGUCAUAUCAACAAAUCCUAGACUUAGAUCAUUAGACUACUUUCUUCUAUGAAUUUAUCCUCUCACUAAAUGAAUAAAUGAACAAACACCUUUUCCAUGUUUA